rnacentral:rRNA from 1 species
AUGGAGCAGAGGCUGCGGAUGGCGCGAAUCUGGGUGGCCAACCCUAGCACCGCCCAUCACUGGACUCAUGGCUUCGGUGAAAUGUUUGAGCUGAAGCUCUGCAGUUCAGAUGUAACAUACCUGAAUAUGAUUGCAGUGAUGGAAACCCAAGGAUUUAGUGAAUAUGAUCUGCUGUUUCACAUUGAGAAUCCACAUUUAGGGGAGAAAGGAUUGGAGAUGGUAGAGAGUGAUGCUGAGUUGCAAUUAGUAAAGAGGCAGGUUGAGGAGUGUAAGGUUAUAAAUUUGCUAGUGAGGGCAUGUCCACCUCCUUGCAGCCAGUUUGGGAGGCAAGAAUUAUCCACUGUUGUGUAUGAAGAGCCUGUGUUAUAUGGUCUCAGUGAGCCUCCCAUCUAUGUUGUUGAUGAAGGAGGAGUUGCCUUUGAAAUUCAGAGUAGCAGCUACAGUGUAGCUCAUGGUACUGGUGUUUGCACACAAGAGAGCAAGAAUGUAAAAGGAAAACUGAAAGCUGUUUUGGAAAUAGAAGAAGAAGAGGGAUAUGAUGGCAGUGGUGGUUCUGAUUGUGAAGAAGAGGAAGAAACAGAUGAUGAAGAAUAUGAGGAGGAAGAACUGGUGCAUUAUGAGGGUGACACAGAGGUUGAGGAACCUUUUCAAAUGGAUGAAGAUGACAAAGUUGUUUCGCAGGAUGAAGAAACUGUAAUUGUACAUGAAGAGAAGAAGAAGAAGAAACAGAAGCUUCCAGUUAGGAAAGGGCCUACAACAAGGACACAUUCAAGUGUAGUUCAAGAGGAGGAACCUGAUUUCAAACCUUCAUCUGAUGAAGAAGAGAAAGGAUUGUUGAAGGAGGCUGAUGAUGAUGGUUUUGAGCCAUUGUCAUUUGUGCUGCCAAAGAAAAGGAAGAGCAGGGAAAAGCAGAGGCGUCCUAGAAAAUGGUACAAUGAGAAAAUGGAGGCACCACAUGAGCAAUUAUGUCUAAAGAUGUGUUUCUUGGAUCAACAUCAAUUCAGAGAGGCUUUGUUGAACUUACACAUCACUCAAGGCAGAAACUUCAAAUAUCACAGGAACUCAGAUCAAAGAAUAAUUGUAGAAUGCAACCAAAAACAUUGCAACUUCUUUAUGGUGGCAGCAGUUAUAAAAGGUGAAACUACUUUUGUAAUUAAGAAGAUGAGAAUUAAGCACACUUGCCCUAUUAGUAAAGAGACAACAAGGGUAAGUGCCAAGUGGCUUGCACAGAAGUAUGAGUCACUAUUCAGAUCUGAUCUAACAAUUGGCAUUCAGACUUUGAUUGAUGCCUGCAUGGAGAAGUAUGGUGUGGAUGUGCCCAAGUCAAUGGCAUAUAGGGCAAAGAACCUAGCUAUUGAUGAUGUGCUAGGAGACCACAAGAAGCAAUACCCUAGGUUGAAAGACUAUGCUCAGACAGUGAUGGAUACAAACCCUGGGAGUAGAGUAGUAUUCACUACUGUAACUCCAACACCCACUGAAAAAAUCCCCCAUCCAGGUCCAAGAUUCCAUGCUAUGUUCUAUUGCAUCAAUGGAGCAAGGGAGGGGUUUCUCAAGGGGUGCAGACCAUUCAUUGGUGUUGAUGGGUGCUUCAUUAAGUUAACUACUGGUGCUCAACUACUUGCUGCCACUGGUAGAGAUGGCAACAACAAUAUAUACCCACUAGCAUUUGGUAUUGUUUGGCAAGAGGACACACCUAACAGGCAUAUCUAUGCAAACUUCCAAAAUGCUGGGUUUAGGGGGGAAGAUCUGAAGAAGGGUAUGGAUAAUGCUGCCUAUGCAUAUAGUGAACACAAAUUUAAUAUUGCAAUGAAUGACCUUAGAGCUGAAUGUGAGGAAGCUUGGGAGUGGCUUUGUCAAAUACCCAAGAAAACAUGGGCAAGGCAUGCAUUGGACACAAACUGCAAGACUGACCUUGUAGUUAACAAUUUGUCUGAGGUGUUCAACAAGUAUGUCCUAGAUGUUAGGAAGAAACCAAUUAGGACAAUGUGUGAUGGAAUAAAGGAUAAGCAGAUGAUGAGGUGGCAUAGGAAUAGGGAGAGUGGAAAGAAAGCUAGAUGGGACAUAACACCCCAUUAUAGUGAGAAGCUAGCGAUUGAGAAGGAGAUGGCCAAAUAUUGCAAACCAAUUCAAGCUGUUGUGGACUUGUGCCAAGUUACAAGUGGGCAGCAAACCCAUGCUGUUAACUUGCAAGUGCACACAUAGGAUUAUGUCAGCAAGUUCUUCAAGAAAGAAUUUUAUGUGGCAGCUUAUAAACAAAUGAUCUAUCCAGUUCCUGGUGAGCAUGACUGGACAAAGACCCCUGGUCCAGACAUUGACCCACCUGCAUUUAAAGUGAAGAGAGGAAGAAGGAAAGAGAAGAGGAUCAAAGGGAGAUUAGAAUUUCCAAAGCCUAAGGACACAUCAAGAAUGGGGACUAUAACAUGUGGCAAUUGUGGACUGCAAGGACAUAGGAAUUCCAAUGGUGGUGGUGCUGCUACUACACCAGCAGCAAGAACUUCUCAUCCAGGUCCUACAACAACACCAAUAGCUGGAAUAGGAGGUGCUGGGAGAGGAGCUGGGAGAGGUGCUGCAGCUGCAGGUGCUGGGAGAGCUGCUGAGAGAGGUGCUGGUAGAGGUGCUGGGAGAGGUGCUGGGAGAGUGAGAGGUACAUUCUCUUGCCCAAGGCCAUCUGGUCCCUCCACAUCUACUGCUCCCUCCACAUCUACUACUGGGAGAGGUGCUGGUGGUAGAAAUAGUGGAUGGGGGAGGUACUUCUAUGCAAGUGGUAACUAG